GUACUUGAUUCUGCAGCACAUAUACUAAAAUUGGAAGGAUACAGAGAAGAUUAGCAUGGCCCUGUGCAAGGAUGAUAUGCAAAUUCAUGAAACGUUCCAUAUUUUU
ensembl:snRNA U6 U6 spliceosomal RNA